GUGGAUUAGAUACCCUGGUAGUCCACGCCCUAAACGAUGAGGGCUGGGUGUCGGCAGGGUUUCCUGUCGGUGCCGAAGCCAACGCGUUAAGCCCUCCGCCUGGGGACUACGAACGCAAGUUUAAAACUCAAAGGAAUAGACGGGGGCCCGCACAAGCAGCGGAGCGUGUGGUUCAAUUCGAUGUAACACGAAGAACCUUACCAGGGCUUGACAUGUAUGUGGUAGGGAAGUGAAAGCGGACCGACCCGCAAGGGAGCGUACACAGGUGCUGCACGGUCGUCGACAGCU
rnacentral:rRNA from 1 species